UCCGGUUUGUCACCGGCAGUAUCCCAUGAGUCCCCAACUGAAUGUAGCAACUAAUGGCAAGGGUUGCGCUCGUUGCGGGACUUAACCCAACAUCUCACGACACGAGCUGACGACAGCCAUGCAGCACCUGUGUCCAGGUUCCCUUUCGGGCACCGCUGCAUUUCUGCAGCGUUCCUGGCAUGUCAAGGGUAGGUAAGGUUUUUCGCGUUGCAUCGAAUUAAACCACAUCAUCCACCGCUUGUGCAGGCCCCCGUCAAUUUCUUUGAGUUUUAACCUUGCGGCCGUACUCCCCAGGCGGAUGACUUAAUGCGUUAGCUGCGCCACCGAAAGCCCAUGGCCCCCGACAGCUAGUCAUCAUCGUUUACGGCGUGGACUAC
rnacentral:misc_RNA from 1 species